UCUCAGCCUGUGACGCUCUGGACAGAAGCGUGUUCUGUUGUCUGAAAGAAAUAGAAAGUGUUUCUGUUCAAAGGAUUACUGUUUGAGA
ensembl:miRNA